UACAGAGGGUGCAAGCGUUAAUCGGAAUUACUGGGCGUAAAGCGCGCGUAGGUGGUUUGGUAAGCGAGAUGUGAAAGCCCCGGGCUCAACCUGGGAACUGCAUCCAAAACUGGCAAGCUAGAGUAUGGUAGAGGGUAGUGGAAUUUCCUGUGUAGCGGUGAAAUGCGUAGAUAUAGGAAGGAACACCAGUGGCGAAGGCGACUACCUGGACUGAUACUGACACUGAGGUGCGAAAGCGUGGGGAGCAAACAGG
rnacentral:rRNA from 1 species